CUGAGGAGUGAAAACUGCAAAUUAGAGAAACUGAACCUGUCUUAUUGUCGUCUCACCUCCAGAUGUUCCUCAUCGCUCUCCUCAGUCCUCUCUUCUCCACACUCACAGCUGACUGAACUGAACCUGAGCGGAAACAACCUGGGAGAUUCAGGAACUGAUCAGCUGUGUGAGGGUCUGAGGACCCCAAACUGUAAAUUAAAGACACUGUGCCUGUUGUUAUGUCAUAUCACCUCCGGAUGUUCCUCAUCUCUCUCCUCAGUCCUCUCUUCUCCACAUUCACAGCUGACUGAACUGGACCUGAGCAACAACAAACUGGGAGAUUCAGGAGCUCAUCAGCUGUGUGAGGGUCUGCGGACCACCAGCUGUAAAUUAAAGACACUUUGGCUGUCUGGUAAUGAAAUCAGUGAGAGUGAGAAGAAGAACCUGAGUUCACUACAGGAGGAGCUGAACAGUACUGGACGGCAGGUGAAUAUUCACACAAAUGAAAACUGGACGUGGUGUUCAACUGACCCCAGUGACGGCGCCCCUGUCCAGUCCCUCUAAAUUCUUCUCUUUAUUCUUUUAUAAUCCCCUUGUAAUGAGUUUAUAUGUUAAAUAUGUCACUGUGCUCUGUACAAUAAAUAUUUUAUAAAUCUGCUUCUUCUCACAAAUUCAGCUAUCACAAGGCCAGAUUUAGCACACAGGGGCUUAGCAUUAAGACAAGACAAGAACAACUAGGAAAUGGGCAUUGUACUAUUUCUGUGUGUCAGAGUCAGCAUGAAACUGAAUCCUCUCUUUGCCUUGUUUGGAAUGGCGUGAUUUACCUUAGUUAGGGCCUGCAAAUGGAGAAAAAGUAGAAAGCCUUGGAACAUUGCCCAGCACACCUUUGAAGCUGACGGAUGGAUGGAAGAUUAUGCCAUCCGAUCCUGAAAAUCUUUCCAGUGCAGCGACAAAAAUGGCAGACUGUAUACAUUAAGAUCUCUCCUCGGUAAAAGUCUUGCUAUCUUCAUCUGUAAUGCUGUGUAAAUCAUCAUUAAAGAAAGCCAAGUUAUGUUCUC